CUCAAGUCAAUCAUAGUAAGAAAUAAGGCAUGCCAAUAGUCAAAAUAAAAGCAUUGCAAUUUUGUAUCUGUUUUUAUAGAUAAGCCUUUAAAUGUAACAAAAGUUGUCUUUUGUAUUGAAAUAAUUUGUUUCUAUUUUUCUCUUUCCCCUCUUGCCUCUUUAUAAAGGAGUCAGUCACUGCCAACAUAAAGUUAAGAAAGCUAGGCGCUUUCUCCCUUUGGUCUUCUGUUCCCAUGAUCCUCCUUCUACGGAUGAAAUUAGUGGGGACGAAACAGAUGAUUAUGCUGAGAUUAUAGAUGAAGAAGAUACUUACACCAUGCCCUCAAAAAGCUAUGGAAUAGAUGAAGCCAGGGAUUAUGAGAUUCAAAGAGAAAGAAUAGAACUUGGACGAUGUAUUGGAGAAGGCCAAUUUGGAGAUGUACAUCAAGGCGUUUAUAUGAGUCCAUAACAAUGCGUCAGUUUGACCAUCCUCAUAUUGUGAAGCUGAUUGGAGUCAUCACAGAGAAUCCUGUCUGGAUAAUCAUGGAGCUGUGCACACUUGGAGAGCUGAGGUCAUUUUUGCAAGUA
rnacentral:sRNA from 1 species